rnacentral:rRNA from 1 species
UACGUAGGGUGCAAGCGUUGUCCGGAAUUAUUGGGCGUAAAGAGCUCGUAGGCGGUCCGUCACGUCGGGCGUGAAAACCCAGGGCUCAACCCUGGGCCUGCGUUCGAUACGGGCGGACUAGAGUUCGGUAGGGGAGACUGGAAUUCCUGGUGUAGCGGUGAAAUGCGCAGAUAUCAGGAGGAACACCUAUGGCGAAGGCAGCUCUCUGGGACGGUACUGACGCUGAGACGCGAAAGCGUGGGGAGCGAACAGG